GCAGUCGCACGGGCAGCAAUGUCAGUGGCGGACGGGUGAGUAACGCGUAGGGAAGUGUCCAGAGGUGGGGGACAACCCCGGGAAACUGGGGCUAAUACCGCAUAUGGCCUGAGGGCCAAAGCAGUGAUGCGCCUUUGGAGUUACCUGCGUCCGAUUAGGUAGUUGGUGGGGUAAAGGCCUACCAAGCCGACGAUCGGUAGCUGGUCUGAGAGGACGACCAGCCACACUGGGACUGAGACACGGCCCAGACUCCUACGGGAGGCAGCAGUGGGGAAUAUUGGACAAUGGGCGCAAGCCUGAUCCAGCAAUGCCGCGUGGGUGAAGAAGGUCUUCGGAUCGUAAAGCCCUUUCGGCGGGGACGAUGAUGACGGUACCCGCAGAAGAAGCCCCGGCUAACUUCGUGCCAGCAGCCGCGGUAAUACGAAGGGGGCUAGCGUUACUCGGAAUUACUGGGCGUAAAGGGCGCGUAGGCGGCGUUCCAAGUCAGGCGUGAAAGCCCUGGGCUCAACCUGGGGACUGCGCUUGAUACUGGAGUGCUUGAGGAUGGAAGAGGGUUGUGGAAUUCCCAGUGUAGAGGUGAAAUUCGUAGAUAUUGGGAAGAACACCGGUGGCGAAGGCGGCAACCUGGUCCAUUUCUGACGCUGAGGCGCGAUAGCGU
rnacentral:rRNA from 1 species